rnacentral:rRNA from 1 species
CGGUUAUAGGGUUUAGAAGCCUAUAACUAAAGGAGUAAUUCACUUCGAGAGGGACCUGCGUACUAUCAGCUAGUUGGUGAGGUAAUGGCCCACCAAGGCGAUGACGGUUAGGGGACCUGAGAGGGUGGCCCCCCACAAUGGAACUGAAACACGGUCCAUACACCUACGGGUGGCAGCAGUAGGGAAUAUUAGUUAAUGUGCGAAAGCGCGAACUAGCAACGCCGCGUGUGCGAUGAAGGCCUUCGGGUCGUAAAGCACUUUUCUAAGGGAUGAGGAAGGACAGUACCUUAGGAAUAAGCAUCGGCUAACUAUGUGCCAGCAGCCGCGGUAAAACGUAGGAUGCAAGCGUUAUCCGGAUUUACUGGGCGUAAAGCGCGUGUAGGCGGUUUGGUAAGUUGGAUGUGAAAGCUCCCGGCUUAACUGGGAGAGGUCGUUCAAUACUGCCAAGCUUGAGGAUGGUAG